rnacentral:rRNA from 1 species
GAGCGCUGAAGGUUGGUACUUGUACCGACUGGAUGAGCAGCGAACGGGUGAGUAACGCGUGGGGAAUCUGCCUUUGAGCGGGGGACAACAUUUGGAAACGAAUGCUAAUACCGCAUAAAAACUUUAAACACAAGUUUUAAGUUUGAAAGAUGCAAUUGCAUCACUCAAAGAUGAUCCCGCGUUGUAUUAGCUAGUUGGUGAGGUAAAGGCUCACCAAGGCGAUGAUACAUAGCCGACCUGAGAGGGUGAUCGGCCACAUUGGGACUGAGACACGGCCCAAACUCCUACGGGAGGCAGCAGUAGGGAAUCUUCGGCAAUGGACGAAAGUCUGACCGAGCAACGCCGCGUGAGUGAAGAAGGUUUUCGGAUCGUAAAACUCUGUUGGUAGAGAAGAACGUUGGUGAGAGUGGAAAGCUCAUCAAGUGACGGUAACUACCCAGAAAGGGACGGCUAACUACGUGCCAGCAGCCGCGGUAAUACGUAGGUCCCGAGCGUUGUCCGGAUUUAUUGGGCGUAAAGCGAGCGCAGGUGGUUUAUUAAGUCUGGUGUAAAAGGCAGUGGCUCAACCAUUGUAUGCAUUGGAAACUGGUAGACUUGAGUGCAGGAGAGGAGAGUGGAAUUCCAUGUGUAGC